rnacentral:piRNA from 1 species
AGGCCUGAUUAGGGGCUGAGGAUGG